GACAGAGGUCCCGAGCGUUAGGCGGAAUCACUGGGCUUAAAGCGUGUGUAGGCGGCGGCCUAAGUACCUUGUGAAAUCCCACAGCUUAACUGUGGAACUGCUUGGUAUACUGCCAGUCUUGAGCCAGCUAGGGGCUACCGGAACAAAUGGUGGAGCGGUGAAAUGCGUAGAUAUCAUUUGGAACGCCAAUGGUGAAAACAGGUAGCUGGGGCUGUGCUGACACUGAGACACGAAAGCCAGGGGAGCAAACGGG
rnacentral:rRNA from 1 species